rnacentral:SRP_RNA from 1 species
UGCUAGAUGGGGAAUUAGCGGUGCCCUGUAACAUGCAAUCCGCUACAGCAUGAUUGAAUGCCCCGUAUAGGCAACGUAUGGUGAAUGCAGACUGAUGUGUGGGAUGUUGAUUUCAAGGUCUUAUGCAACAAGUCCAAGCGAACCGUGUCAGGACAGGAAUGUAGCAGCACUAAACUUGUGCACUUGUGUGCCAUAAGGUAGCUUUGUAGGAGUUACCUAUAUCU